GCCAUCCACAGGCUUCGCCGAGCCGCUAUCCCCACCUCCCUCCUCCUCUGCCACGAUUCCCCUCCCGCAGAUCCACCUUCUUCUCUUCCAGGGUGCGCCGCCCGAUCCCCACUGGGUUUCUUCCCAUACCGACGCCGCCCCACCCUCAACCCGCUUCUUGCCCCGUCGACGCCGCCCCAUCCCCAUCCGGCUUCUCCCACGCCAGUUCCGCCGCCGCCAGGCAACGACCUUCCCGCGCCCAACUCCUCCUCCUCCCUGUGGUCAUGGUGCCACCACGUCCCGUCUGGUGCGCUUGAUGCUCCGCCUUCCCCUUCCCAGACCGGAGUUGCAUCCACGGCGGUCACAUCGUGCCACCACCAACCUCGGCUGCCAGGGUCCCUCGUCCCCUUCCAUGGCGAGUUGUGCCUCGCGUGGAACUCGGACCACCCCACCACCAGAUCCAUCCAGGGGAGGCAGAGGGGCUCCGGGCCACCGCCGGCCACACGCGGCCACCACCUCCAUGAAGGUGUGCUCCAGACCGCCACCGCCGGCGCCGCACCCUUGCCUUCCCCGCUGGAUCUAGCCUCGCCAGCGGUCAAGGCCACGGGCAUAGAGGAGGAAGGAAAAGUUCUCCUAUCCGGCCCCGCUCCCUGCCAGCACCGAUCUGGUACCCCUCCCCCAAGCCGUACCACGACGAGUUCUUCCCUGUGUGCUAGUGCUUGUGUACUGCAUCGACUGCGGUAGCCAAAAUCACCAGUCGCCGUUCAGUCGAUGGCCACGCCCGGCCUUUUCCUACUGCUUCGUCUGAGGCGAGGACGGCUUCCUCUCUCUGCCAUGUCAAGCUCCGACAUCCACUACCUGCGCCCGGAGUGCAAACUCCCCGGAGUGCAAACUCCCUUCGCAAGGAGCGAGGUCCAAUCCUGGCGGGCACGCGAUAUUGUACGAUGCGCGUGGCCGUGCAGUGCAGUUGACGCCCCGUGUGCAGCUCACUUACGUGGUCUGAUAAAAAAAAUUAGUUUUGUGCACCAGUGCAGUGCGCAUCAUCUUUUUUUAGAAAAAGUAGUGCGCAUCAUCUAGUUCCAUCUCUCACUUCUUGCCGGCGUAUAUGGACCAGGUGGUGCUUUCUAUUGACCGUGAGCGCCGUGCAUAGGGCACAUGGCCCAUCACCGCCGACCCUCAGCGGUCUAAUGUAAUUUUACAGUGAAAAUGUUUGUGCUCUUUUUUACAAUAUAGGUGCAGUUCGUUGUAAAUCCCUCUAUUGUUCACUUUGUGAAAAAAGAGAGAGAAAAUAAUUGCAUCGAUAUUGUAGUGCGAUUUUGGUUC